UCUUCCCUUACUGUUUUUGAAGACCAAUUUUAGCCUGUGGUGGUCUGAUAGGACACAUGGGAUUAUGUCUAUCUUUCUGUAUCUGUUGAGGCCUGUUUCAUGACUGAUUAUAUGGUCAAUUUUGGAGAAAGUAUCAUGAGGUGGUGAGAAGAAAGCAUAUUCUUUUGAUUUAGGAUUGAAUGUUCUAUAAAUAUGUUAAGUCCAUUUGGUUCAUAACUUCUGCUAGUCUUUCUAUGUCUCUGUUUAAUUUCUGUUUCCAUGAUCUGUCCAUUGAGAAGAGUUGGGUGUUGAAAUCUCCUACUCUUAUUGUGUGAGGUGAAGUGUGUGCUUUGAGCUUUAGUAAGGUUUAGUAAGGUUUAGUAAGGUUUCUUUUACGUAUGAAGGUGCCCUUGUAUUUGGAGCAUACUUAUUUAGGAUGAAAGUUCAUCUUGGUGGAUAUUUCCUUUGAUGAAUAUGAAGUGUCCUUCCUUAUCUUUUUUUAUGACUUUUGGUGAAAAUCGAUUUUAUUCAACAUUAGAAUGUCUACUCCAGCUUGCUUCUUCACAUCAUUUGCUUGGAAAGUUGUUUUCCAGCUUUUUACUCUGAGGUAGUAUCUGUUAUUGUCUCUGAGGUAUGUUUCCUGCAGGCAGCAAAAUGCUGGGCCCUCAUUUUGUAUCCAGUUUGUUAAUCUGUGUCUUUCUAUUGGGGGAAUUGAGUCCAUUGAUGUUGACAGAUAUUGAGGAAUAGUGAUUGUUGCUUCCUAUUAUCUCGUAUUUGGAGGUGAGAUUAUGUUUGUGUGCUUGUCUUCUCUUUGUUUUGCUUUUUCUAGAGUGUAGCUUGCCUCCUUGUGUUGGGCUUUACCAUUUAUUAACUUUUGUAGGGCUGGAUUUGUAGAAAGAUAUUGUGUAAAUUUGGUUCUGACAUGGAAUAUCUUGAUUUCUCCAUCUAUGUUAAUUGAAAGUUUUGGGGGAUACAGUAAUCUGGGCCGUAAUUUGUGUUCUCUUAUGACCAUCUCUCCAGGAUCUUCUGGCUUUCAUACUCUCUUUUGAGAAGUCUGGUGUAAUUCUGAUAGGUCUGCUUUUAUAUGUUACUUGACCUUUUUCCCUUACUGCUUUUAAUAUUCUUUCUUUGUUUUGUGCAUUUGGUGUUUUGACUAUUAUGUAACAGGAAGAGUAUCUUUUCUGUUCCAAUCAAUUUGGUGGUCUGUAGGCUUCCUGUAUAUUUAUGGGUAUCUCUUUCUUUAGGUUAGGGAAGUUUUCCUCUAUGAUUUUAUUGAUGAUAUUUACUGGUCCUCUGAGUUGGGAGUCUUGACUCUCUUCUCUACCUAUUAUCCUUAUGUUUGAUCUUCUCAUUGUGUCCUGGGUUUCCGGUAUGUUUUGAGCCAGUAACUUUUUCUGUUUUACAUUAUCUUUGAUAGUUGUGUCGAUGAUUUCUAUGGAAUCUUCUACUCUUGAGAUUCUCUCUUCUAUCUCUUGUAUUUGUUGGAGAUGCUUGUAUCUGUGGCUUCUUUUCUCUUCCUUUCUUUUCUAUAUCCAGGGUCAUCUCCCUUUGUGCUUGCUUUAUUGUCUAUUUCCAUUUUCAAUUCCUUCACCUGUUUGAUUGUGUUUUCCUAUAAUUCUCUCAGGGAUUUUUGUGUUUCCUCUCUAAGGGCUUCUACUUGUUUACUUGUGUUUUCCUGCAUUUCUCUAAGGGAGUUCUUUAUGUCUUUCUUAAAGUCCUCCAUCAUCAUGAUAAAAUGUGAUUUUAAAUCUAGAUCUUGCUUUUCUGGUGUGUUUGGACAUUCAGUGUUUGCUUUAAUGGGAGAAUUUUGCUCUGAUGAUGUCAUGUAGUCAUGGUUUCUAUUGUUUGAGUUCUUAUCUUGCCUCUCACCAUCAGGUUGCUUCUUUUGUUACCUUUUUCUGCUAUUUUUCACAGUGGCUUGACUGUCCUAUAGGCUGUGUCAGGAGUGCUGCAGAUCUGUUUUCCUGUUUUCUUUCAGCCAGUUAUGGGAACAGGGUGUCCUGCUUUCAGGCGUGUAGUUGUUCCUGUCUACUGGCUUUCAGCUGUUCCAGUUUCCUGAGUCCACCAGGCAAGUCACUUCGAGCAAAAAGGUCUCAGGCAAUCCUAAAGAAUAGGAGGAAAAUAGAGUGUAAGAUCCAGAAGUGAUUGAGGACAUAAGGAGAAAAAUAUCCUCUAAGUCAACUGAGCAAAUCUCAUAUGAAUUCACAGAGACUGAAGCAGCAAGCAAAGGGACCAUACAAGUCCUCAUCAGAUCAUAUUAAAGUCAUGCAUAAAGAAGCAGCAGAGAAGAGUCUGACUCAGAGGAGCACUGUGAAUCAAUAGUGUCCAUGAGGGAGUGCUUGCAACUAAAUCCUCAACAAUUCCUUGACCAUGCUAUAGGUAAAUGCAAAUUGCAUACCAGGCUUUCAAAUGUUAGUAAAACAUGAUAAUGCUUCAUAGUGAUUAUGUUUGUAAAUACAGUAUCUUAGAUCCACAGAUGCACCUAACACCAUUUCCUUAUUCGUAUAUUGCAAAUAUAGCUUACUAGAAAUGUAGAUGCACUAUUUCCAUAUUAACUUUGCCCCUCCCUUUAUAGAGAACCUGAGGAUUUAUUUUAUAUGCUGUUCCUCAUUUAAGUCAAUUUUGAAAAUUGCCCCAGAAAAUACAUUGAGCUUGUAGACUGAAUGGGAAAAGAAUGGGAGUAGAUGUUUCUCAAAAACAUAGUGAACAAAAAGUACGAAAUCAUUAUACUGCUUGUAUAAAAAAUAACCUGGCAAUUAAUAACUUUUGGUAAGGGUGCAUGUAUGUAGUAAUUUUAAAGAAAAGUGUAAGAAUGAGUUCAAAAUUCUGGUACUUAUUUAUUUAGUCUUGUAUUUUUGAAAGCUCUAUUACAAUUAUUCUCACUGUAAUGCUUCUGACAGAAAUAGAGGAAUCAUAAAUACAUAAGGAUUGCAAUUUCAUAUGGAAGUCCUCUUGUACACCAUUCCUCAAGGGUAAUACCUUAAUGUCUAGAUGGUUAAUGAGUAAAAAAUGCUUUGCAGUUAUUUUACAGAAGGUAUAUAGACUAGUCAUUAGACUGACAAAUAUUUUAGUUAUUAAUUGCUAAAAUGAUUUAGAGUGCAUGAAAUAAUUUCCAAUGUGAUAUUUUAUUCUGUCUGAAAUUCAUUUACUUGUAUAAUUUUAUCACACUUGGAUUUCCUGCCAUAAGCAUCAAAUGAUGUGACAUGGAUAUUCUAAUUUACAAGGUUAUUAAAAAUUAUGAUGUCAGCUUCAUGUAAAUUUAAUGGAGAUAUUUGUGAAAUUUUCUAUUUAUGAAAACAUAUUUGUCAAGUGCUGGAAUAAUUAGGGAUGAUGAUUGAGUUAUUUCUUUAAAGGUUUUCCUUAGAUUAUCAGAAAUAUAGUAUAUAGAAAUGUAAAUCUGUGUAGGUGGAGUGAAAGACAGCAGAAUAUUAAAUACUAGAAUACAGAAAAGACACAACAAAUGGGUAGGGAAAGCUGUGAGUUUUCAGGUUAUAAAAAUCCUACAGGUUGGAUAUCUUUAAAGCAUACCCCCGUAUGACUAAUAUCCAUCACUUUUAUAGUAGGCAGUCUGAGGAAAAUCUCAGUUUUUUGCUUCUGAAGCAUUAUUUAAAUAAAUAAUGAUUCAGAAACAAGUGUAAUAUUUCUCCUACUCUGUAUAAUCUGAUAUUAUUAUCAAUAAUGUUGAUCUGGAAAAUAUACAAAAGCCUCUUAAAAACCCUAUACAUGUUUAUUACUUUUUUCUUUUGAGACAGUAUCUCUCUAUGUAUCCCUGUCUAUCUUGGAACUGGUUAUGUAGACAGGCUGGACUCAGACUCAAAGAGAUCUUCCUUCCCCUGCCUGCUGAGGGCUGAGAAUACAGGUCCAUGCUACACCAUGCUGCUGGGUUUUAAAAUCUGAUUUUAUAGUUUUCUAGCAUUUUAAAUAUUCAGUUUUCUAUAUUUCUUGAACUUGCUUUCUUCAUUGUCUAUUAUUUCCAUAAUGUGAGGACUUAUUUGACUUUGACGACAUUCCAUAUGGAUUUUGUUUUUCAAAUUAAGGGAAUGUUGAAUAGCUAUUAAAUAUUCUUUUGUUUCAACACACAAUUCUUUAUUGAUUCAUGAAAAAUAGCUUAGCUCUAUAUUUUUAAUUUAUUAAUAGCAGAUUACUUGCUAAAAACAGUGUGCUAUUUUAAACCAAAAGGAAAAGUGUGUGUGUGUGUGUGUGUGUGUGUGUGUGUGUGUGUGUGUGUGUGUGUGUGUAGUGUUAGCCACAUUAACAAGCCUGGAUCUUAUUCAAAUUCUUUCCACAAUACUAGUGACUUUAUGUAGAACUAAUAGUGUUUUUAAUCCAUGUGAUUGUAAUUCUAACAAGUAUCAGUGCUGAAAUAUAUGAAUCUGUGGAAUCUAUGUCGUAUAUUCUCCCUCAGAUUGUUUAUAAUUUCAGCAAUUUAUGGUCUCUUCCACAGUCUGUAAUGUGUUGAAUAUAUGAAACUCGCAAAGUAUAUUUGCUUGAUAUUCAGGAGUUAUGUGAUCAUUUUUAAAACAAGAAAGCAACACAUUGACUAUAUUUAAUGUGACAGUUAGAAAUCCUCUCUUAGGCACCAAAGGGAAGGGAAACCCUUGGUCCUGCCAAGGCUGGACCCCCCAGUGUAAGGGAAUGUCAGGGUGGGGA